UACAGAGGUCUCAAGCGUUGUUCGGAUUCAUUGGGCGUAAAGGGUGCGUAGGUGGCGCUGUAAGUCGGGUGUGAAAUUUCGGAGCUUAACUCCGAAACUGCAUUCGAUACUGCGGUGCUUGAGGACUGGAGAGGAGACUGGAAUUCAUGGUGUAGCAGUGAAAUGCGUAGAGAUCAUGAGGAAGACCAGUGGCGAAGGCGGGUCUCUGGACAGUUCCUGACACUGAUGCACGAAGGCUAGGGGAGCAAACGGG
rnacentral:rRNA from 1 species